GCAGUCGAGGGGAACGACAUCGAAAGCUUGCUUUUGAUGGGCGUCGACCGGCGCACGGGUGAGUAACGCGUAUCCAACCUGCCCACCACUUGGGGAUAACCUUGCGAAAGUAAGACUAAUACCCAAUGACGUCUCUAGAAGACAUCUGAAAGAGAUUAAAGAUUUAUCGGUGAUGGAUGGGGAUGCGUCUGAUUAGCUUGUUGGCGGGGUAACGGCCCACCAAGGCUACGAUCAGUAGGGGUUCUGAGAGGAAGGUCCCCCACAUUGGAACUGAGACACGGUCCAAACUCCUACGGGAGGCAGCAGUGAGGAAUAUUGGUCAAUGGACGAGAGUCUGAACCAGCCAAGUAGCGUGCAGGAUGACGGCCCUAUGGGUUGUAAACUGCUUUUAUAAGGGAAUAAAGUGAGCCUCGUGAGGCUUUUUGCAUGUACCUUAUGAAUAAGGACCGGCUAAUUCCGUGCCAGCAGCCGCGGUAAUACGGAAGGUCCGGGCGUUAUCCGGAUUUAUUGGGUUUAAAGGGAGCGUAGGCCGGAGAUUAAGCGUGUUGUGAAAUGUAGAUGCUCAACGUCUGCACUGCAGCGCGAACUGGUUUCCUUGAGUACGCACAAAGUGGGCGGAAUUCGUGGUGUAGCGGUGAAAUGCUUAGAUAUCACGAAGAACUCCGAUUGCGAAGGAGCUUGCUGGACUGAACUGACGCGAUGCUCGAAGUGUGGUAUCAAC
rnacentral:rRNA from 1 species